CCCUCACAGCAACCACCCCAAAAGCACGCGAGCCCUCUCCUUCCACUCUCUUUCUCGCUCUCCUCCUGCCAACUACAUAAUCCUUGAUUAAAAACGGAACAAGGCUAAUAAAGAGAAAAUUUAAAAAAAAAAAAAAAAAAAAAAAGAGGAGGACGGAAUGGAGCCGAGGAAAUGCAACUGUCAGAAAACGGGAUGGUCAGACUUCCUGAGUGAACCUGCCUGUGUCUGGCUUAAUGUAAAUCCACCAUCUUCAGCCUGGCAAGUUGUCUUUCGGUUGGGCUUUUUUUUUUUUUUUUUUUUUUUUUUUUUUUUUUUUUUUUUGGUGGGGAGGGGGGUGUUAUGUUUGCGAUCUCUGCCUUGGUACCUAAGGAGGAAGAGGAGGAGGAGGGUGUGUUAUUGAAUGGUGGCUAAAGCCUCCUCGGGACGGCGCUGAGGUGAAACAGGCUGAACCCGACUGAUGUGGCUCCUCUCUCGGUUGGACCCAGUGCCCUAAGCAGCCGAGGAGAGACCCCCGGCCGCCCGGCUCGCAGGUUACACGCACGAAGCGAACAGAAUGGGCCCGAUCCUGCCAGUCCCUUCUUGAGUACCUUUUUAAUGCUGAAAUGGGCAUACUAAUUGUGAACUGUGUGGUAAGAAGCUCCUUCUAAAAUAUGCAGUAACUUAUUUACUGGAAUUUAACAGGCUGUGUACUUUAAAGCUUCUCUUGCCUGUAAUCACAUGAACAAACCUUGCAAGUCAUAUUGCCAGCUUGAGAUUCGGCACACUAACAGCAGCGCUGACGCAGCCCCCGCCAUUAGGCAAGGUACAGAAAGGAGCUGGUGACCUGCGACGGGACAAGAGACCUCGCUUACCAGGAUUUGCUCACGGUUAUGCUUCUGGCAACUGAGAUUUCCAUUUUACUCAAAGCUUCAACAUCUGUGUCAUCAGACAAAGCCCCAUGAGUGGUGGCAGAGCAAACUAUAGCCUUCAUUUUCAAGUUUGAAGAGAAAAAAUUAUUUACAUGUCUAAAUCCCGGAACCUGCUGUUCAGAGAUCAUUCUUUGUUACUUGCUGCUUUAAACCAUUAAGGUUUCCAAAAGCUCUAUAACGAAAUGGGACAUAGUUUGGGGCAGAAAAGUCUUAUUGUUUUCAUUUUGUUUAGUUUCUUUUUUAUCAUAUCAUCUGAUUUUUUUCCUACCAGAGGAACAUGGAAGAUGGGAUGUUUCUGUCAUUGCUUACAAUGAAUGACUGCUUAAAGGGACUGUCAGAGAUUGCAAGACAAAUCUUUGCCCCUCCUUAAGAUUGUUAUAAACUGAAGGAGAAUGCCUUUUAAUUUGUUAGGACUUCAGAGUUUAUUUUGUAAGGAAAUUAUUGAUUCAUGCAAUGACUGCUCCUUUACUGUUUUAUCACACUUCCAACUCAGUAUUUUUAUAUUCUUUUGGUUAUGAAUUUAGGCAAAUGUUUAACUACGUGUAUUAAUGUUGCAGGGUUUUUUUUGUUGUUGUUUUAGACAUGUUUUCCUAAAUCACACCCUUGAAUUUAGUGACAAUUAGUACAAUUUCCGGAAAUGUAUUGUCAUCAGUAAGAGUGCUGUGUACCAAGACGUGUGAACGUAGAUGUUAAGGGGGAGCACAAGUAAUGACUUUUUUUCCAUUCACAGAGGGAGCACUAAGAAGUCAAGGUUAUUCAACAGAAGUGAAUAAAUGCAGCCUGGAAAGGUAUUUACUUUCCAAACUGCAAGAGGAUCUCAGAAACAAUAAGGAUAACAUAAAAACAAAAAUCUAAAGAAAUUCCUUAAUCUUCCUAAAAAAUAAUUGGAACUGAAAAAAAAAAAAAAAAGAAAAAAAGAAAGCAUUUCAUAAUGAAGCAAAUCUUCAGGCAGGAAAAAAGAAAAGAGUUGUCUGACACAGUGUUUAGGGAAGAUUGAAGGAAUUGUUCCAGGGGCUGUUCUUUGCUGGUAUUGCAGAAGUGUGGGGGGCAUUUAAUCUGUUUUAGUUGCUCUAUCUGUAAAUAGAAGAUGAUAAUGCUCACUUCUGUCUAGUAUUGUGCAGUCUUUAGAUGUUUCACAGUGCAACGGAAAAGUGUUUCACAGUGUACUUAAGAAUUGCCUGUUGGACCUCAUGUUUUUGAGAUAAAAGACAGUUUGGGCUAUACAUCCUGAAAGAGCUGGUUCCUUAAGGUGGUGGUGGCAACUUUAAGUUUUUGUGGGGUGGUUUUUUUUUUUUUGUUUUGUUUUUAACUGUUUAAUGGACUGAUUUUUGGUAUCAUUCCUGGAAUAUGCAGGUCUCUGGAGACUGAUAGAAGGGAGGCUUGCUGUGAAUAAAAACGCCUCCUUUAGGAGAUCCCAUGAUCAGCAGAAUUCUGUCAUCCUCACAAAAACAUAUUUAGCAUUAGCAUGGCCCAUGUUUUAUAUUUCAGCUACUAAACUUUCAGGGACAUCUUUGUCUGGCUAACAUCUCAAGGCUGUUUGUUUAAAGAUAUCACUGAAAGACCCCUUACCUUUAGACCAAUUCAGACUGGGGUAUAUCAUGGUAUGAAAAGUAAUAUGCAGAUGCCAUGGCUUUUCCCAUUAAAUAAGCAUGUUGAUUUCAAUAGUAUUUCUUGAAAGAACAUGGCAAAAAAUGACUUGGAUUGUUGUGAAUUUCCUGUAGAGAAUUUUGGUGACAGAACUGUCGCCAUAUGGCUGCACAUAUUUCAUGCUACAUGAAAGGAAAUUAGCAGGAAAUUAGUGGAACUUGUAGAAAACCUAUGUAAAAGUAAAAUACAACAAACAAACAGUCUUUCCACAGAUUAUACUGGCAGUACUGAUGAUGUCUACUCUGACAACAGGCAUGGAGUAUGCUCAGGGUGGUGUGUCUCCUGACCCCCACUCCAUGUUGCCAGCCUUUAGCUCUGCUGAAGACUGAGCUGUUGGGUCUGCCAACAGCCCGGAUUGCUUAACUCAUCUGUUUUAGCAACAGGCAAUCUCAGGGCUGUCCUACGAUGUGUGACAUUGCCAGAAAGGCAAUUGGCUGGUUGUGACUGCAGAGCUAUACAAGGGGACUGUGAACACCUCAGAUUUCUUCUCUUGCAUAUCCUAAACUAUGCCCUAGGCUUGGACCUGAAUGUAGCUUUAUGCUCUUGCAACCAGCCUCGAAAUGUGUUGCGGCUUGGAACACAGGUCCAAGCUUAUAAGGUAAGAGACAUUAAAAAAAAUCUCAUUCCUGUGUGAAACUUUCAGCAGUUAGGGUAGGAAAGACAAUUAACCUAUCAAAUGCGGAAUCAAACCAGUUUAUCAGAACAUCAAAAUUAGGAAUGCAACAUUUUGCUUUUUAGAUUUUCAGUGAAGUGACAAAGGUGUCUCUUACCUGCUGCUUUGCCAGUGGUAGGUGCCAGCUCACAGCUGAAGUGCAGGUGUAUGAAUUGCCUGUCAUAUCACUGACACAUGCUCACCAGAUGCCACCAAAGGUAUUGGGUCCUACUAAAAAAUAAGAAACCAUAAUUAAUAUAUGAUAGAAAGGGAUGUGUUAGGAUUGUUGGUAAAUGAAAGAUUGAAAUAGAGAUUUACCCUUGAGAAUAACCUUUCAUUUAUUAUCUAUCUUUAAUUACACCCAGAGUGGUUUAUAUAGGGGCAUCUUUUGGGCUUAUGUUUUAAUUGUGAAAAUGGCUAAUUUGUGCAUAGUUUAUUUGUGUUGCUAUUUCAAGUUACUUUAAUUGCAGUACUUACGUAAGUUUAGGAAGCAGAAUUUAAUUCCAUCUGGUGAUUACUUAUUUACUUACAUUAAUCAUACAGUCAGAAAACAUAGAAUUAAAAAAAAUAACUACUGAAAACUUGAUUGAACAUACUAGAGAAAUUAAUGUGACUAAAUGUGUCCAUAUGGAGCCUGAAAAUUUCAACACACUUCAAAAAAUUAAUGUAGGAAACAGGGAGCUACAACUGUUGUGAUUUCCCCCCCAAAAAAACUGUUUUCCUACUAUUUUUCAACUGUCUUAUAUAUCAAGAGUAGACGUAUAUAAAACUGCUUUUGAAGAUAUUUACAUUUUAUUAUUUUUUUUGAAUUCAUGACUGAGAUUGAGGCUGUUUGUUUGCUUUCACUCCACUGUGAAUCUCUAACCCAAGUUAAACACUCAGUGAGACCUAGUAUGUUAACUUAGGGAUGAAAAGCUAUGUUUCCACUUGGUCAUAUUAGGUCCAGCAGUAAAAUAUUUUUAGAUUUAAGCAGAUGCGACUCACCUGAGGAGGAAGUAUGUUAAGCUGAUUACAAGUUGGGCACUUUCCAGAUCAUGAGUGCUAUCAUUCUGAUAUCUUUAAAAUCCACGAAGGUGACCUACAGACCAUUACCCUCUAGCAGAUAAUUAUUCAUGAGCCUCUCUUAAAUCAACAGCAAGCCUACAAGUGGACCUCUAUACAGUGUGACAUGACCAUCCUGUCUCCUGUCCUAGACAUGGAAGCCAUUUGGUAUUCUUAAUAAUUUAGUUUACCUCUAAUAUACUGAAAUUCAGAGUGAUUUAUACCGGCAGAAUAUAUCAGAUUACAUCACAAAAAAGUGGAUUUGCUAUAUUGUUAUGGACAUUUAGACUGUGCAAACAACAGGUUGCAAUGCUACUCUUUUAAAACUCCAGUGGUAUGUGAAUGUGCACAUGUGCACAGCAGAUCACUAGUUAUUGCAGUAAAGGCAGUCUCUGCUUCUGCUAUAUAUUUUCCCAACUGAUAUGCUGCUUUUUUUUUGAGGUUGUCAUAUGGUAUAACACUUUUACUAGUUGACUCCGCCCACUUUUCUUCAAACCACAUCCUGAUUUUUGGCCUCAGAAACCAAACAUAUGCACAACUUGCAGAACAACACAUGAUAUUGUUUCUGUAUAACAUCAUACCAGCUGGGAUAUAAAUUCUUACAGACAAUUUUAUGCGAAUGAAAAAUACCUACAUUAAGACAUUUUCCAUAGUUAUGCAAUACAUACCACAGUAGAGCAUAUGGUCUAGAGUCAGAGAUCUUCACUUAGAAUUAUAACAAAAGCCCCAAGUCAGGCCUCAGAUCUUCGGACAAUAUAAUUUUGAAUAGAUCAUUCUAAUUUCUCUCUCUUUUAUUUCUUCUUUUUUUGUUCUGUUUUGGAUUUCUGAAAUCCAACAUCAGCUAAUUUGCUGGUAUGUCAAAGACCCUUAAAUUUUAUCGAUUUGAUUUAUUGGGUAUUGAGUCCAAUAAAAUUAUUAUUUAACUAAAGAACAGCUAAUAUUUGGUGAAAUUCUAACUUGCAUCAUGAUUUGAAGAUAUGCUAAUAGGAAGAAUUAGUAAUUUUCGGGCAAUUUAUUUCAACAUUUGUUUUCAUUAGUAGAAAACUAUUUUGUUUCUGAUUUGUCAGUGUUCAGCUUCCAGAAUUAUUAUGAUUAUUUUUUUCCUUUUGGGGAAUGGUAGGAGUGGUGGGGUGGGGUUGUUGUUAUGUUACUCUCCCUUGAGGAUAAAGAGUCUUUGCACAUGAGGGUUUUUCUCUCAUGAUCUAUAAACUUUAAUUAAGUUGCCCUCAGCCCUCCUUUUUGAUAAUCAAACAGAUUGAUUUUAUACUUUCACAGCAAAUAAUUUUUCUCCUGCUCGCAAAUUAAUUUUGAAUGCAACUUUGUGAACUCUCCAUUUUUUUUCCACCAUUCCCAUUAAAAUAUGGACAGCAGAUCUAUGGGAAUUAUUCCAACAAUUGCAUCAGGAUUCAAGGAUUACAUUAGCUCUGUUCAUGCAGCUUCACAGUGGGAGCUCUUGUUGAGUUGCUGGUCCACUAUGGCCCAUAAAUCCUUGCAGAGUCAAGGCAUUCCAAGGCACUGUACCCCAUUUUUUGGGGGUGAAAUUCCUUUGUAUUGAUGUAUAACUGUGCAUUCAUCUCUCCUAAAAUGCUCAUUUUUUCAGUGGGUCUAGCUUGUAAAGGGAUCUCCUCUUCCUUGAUCUCAUCAUUAUGUACUACCCAAGUAAUCUUUCUGUCAUCCUUAGAUCCUUAACAUGGUAAUUUCUAUUUGCACCUCAGAACACUGCUGGGAAUACUGAAUAGCAUUGGACCUAGUGCUGAUGCCUGCUGGAUACCAUUAGAAACAAUUGAGUAUUAAUUUUCUUUUUAAUGUAUCUUUUGAUGAUCUGCUGGCCAGUUCUUAAUUGAAAUUGUGAAUAUUGAUGCUAUGUAGUAGAUUUUUUUUUUCUUAAUAAAAAUAUCAUGCAGCAUUUACAAA